UAUUGGGCAAUGGGCGAAAGCCUGAUCCAGCAAUGCCGCGUGAGUGAUGAAGGCCUUAGGGUUGUAAAGCUCUUUUACCCGGGAUGAUAAUGACAGUACUGGGAGAAUAAGCUCCGGCUAACUCCGUGCCAGCAGCCGCGGUAAUACGGAGGGAGCUAGCGUUGUUCGGAAUUACUGGGCGUAAAGCGCACGUAGGCGGCUUUGUAAGUUAGAGGUGAAAGCCUGGAGCUCAACUCCAGAAUUGCCUUUGAUACUGCAUCGCUUGAAUCCAGGAGAGGUGAGUGGAAUUCCGAGUGUAGAGGUGAAAUUCGUAGAUAUUCGGAAGAACACCAGUGGCGAAGGCGGCUCACUGGACUGGUAUUGACGCUGAGGUGCGAAA
rnacentral:rRNA from 1 species